rnacentral:rRNA from 1 species
UACGUAGGGUGCAAGCGUUGUCCGGAAUUAUUGGGCGUAAAAGAGCUCGUAGGCGGUUUGUCGCGUCUGCUGUGAAAACUCGGGGCUUAACUCCGGGCCUGCAGUGGGUACGGGCAGACUAGAGUGCGGUAGGGGAGACUGGAAUUCCUGGUGUAGCGGUGAAAUGCGCAGAUAUCAGGAGGAACACCGGUGGCGAAGGCGGGUCUCUGGGCCGUAACUGACGCUGAGGAGCGAAAGCGUGGGGAGCGAACAGG